GCAUAUCAAUAAGCGGAGGAAAAGAAACCAACAGGGAUUACCUCAGUAACGGCGAGUGAAGCGGUAACAGCUCAAAUUUGAAAUCUGGCUCCUUCGGAGUCCGAGUUGUAAUUUGUAGAAGAUGCUUUGGGCUGUGGGCCCGGCCUAAGUUCCUUGGAACAGGACGUCAUAGAGGGUGAGAAUCCCGUAUGCGGCCGGGGCCUGCGCUCGUGUAAAGCACUUUCGACGAGUCGAGUUGUUUGGGAAUGCAGCUCAAAAUGGGUGGUAAAUUUCAUCUAAAGCUAAAUAUUGGCCAGAGACCGAUAGCGCACAAGUAGAGUGAUCGAAAGAUGAAAAGCACUUUGGAAAGAGAGUUAAACAGUACGUGAAAUUGUUGAAAGGGAAGCGCUUGCAACCAGACUUGGGCGCCGGUGAUCAUCUUGGAGUUCUCUCCGGUGCACUCGGCGGCGCACAGGCCAGCAUCGGUUUGGGUGGUUGGAGAAAGGCCGCUGGGAACGUAGCUCCUCGCGGGGAGUGUUAUAGCCCGCGACGCAAUGCAGCCUACCCGGACCGAGGACCGCGCUUCGGCUAGGAUGCUGGCGUAAUGGUUGUAAGCGACCCGUCUUGAAACACGGACC
rnacentral:rRNA from 1 species